rnacentral:rRNA from 1 species
GAUGAACGCUGGCGGCGUGCCUAAUACAUGCAAGUCGAGCGAACAGAUGAGGAGCUUGCUCCUCUGACGUUAGCGGCGGACGGGUGAGUAACACGUGGAUAACCUACCUAUAAGACUGGGAUAACUUCGGGAAACCGGAGCUAAUACCGGAUAAUAUAUUGAACCGCAUGGUUCAUUAGUGAAAGACGGUUUUGCUGUCACUUAUAGAUGGAUCCGCGCCGCAUUAGCUAGUUGGUAAGGUAACGGCUUACCAAGGCAACGAUGCGUAGCCGACCUGAGAGGGUGAUCGGCCACACUGGAACUGAGACACGGUCCAGACUCCUACGGGAGGCAGCAGUAGGGAAUCUUCCGCAAUGGGCGAAAGCCUGACGGAGCAACGCCGCGUGGGGGAUGAAGGUCUUCGGAUCGUAAAACUCUGUUAUUAGGGAAGAACAAAUGUGUAAGUAACUAUGCACGUCUUGACGGUACCUAAUCAGAAAGCCACGGCUAACUACGUG